GUAGGGUGCGAGCGUUGUCCGGAAUUAUUGGGCGUAAAGAGCUCGUAGGCGGUUUGUCGCGUCGGCCGUGAAAACUUGGGGCUUAACCCCAAGCCUGCGGUCGAUACGGGCAGACUUGAGUUCGGCAGGGGAGACUGGAAUUCCUGGUGUAGCGGUGAAAUGCGCAGAUAUCAGGAGGAACACCGGUGGCGAAGGCGGGUCUCUGGGCCGAUACUGACGCUGAGGAGCGAAAGCGUGGGGAGCGAACAGGAUUAGAUACCCUGGUAGUCCACGCCGUAAACGGUGGGUGCUAGGUGUGGGGGACUUCCACGUCCUCUGUGCCGCAGCUAACGCAUUAAGCACCCCGCCUGGGGAGUACGGCCGCAAGGCUAAA
rnacentral:rRNA from 1 species